AGUAAAGCAUUUCUUGGGGAGCUCGUCGAAGUUGCCGGUUGGUUUCCUGAGGAGUUCAUGGAGCACGUUCGUCGAAAAUCCCAGCUCAUUUCCUGAGGAGAUCGUUGAAGUUGCCGGUUCGUUUCCUGAGGAGUUCAUCGGACAUCUUCCUUGGAGUUGACAGUUUGUUGACGGCUCUGCAGAAUUUGGACUCGUGCAUACCCACAGUUGCGGUAGCCUCAACUGGGGCAAUGGACUGGUCAGCUCAGCUCUGUUCCAUGUAUCUCAUCCUCCAGCAGGCUGGCCGAAGCAUGUGUUCAUGGUGAAGGCAGAGGAGGACGUGGCCUCUUGGACCAGUGACCGGGGAGCACACAGCCAAAGGGACAGAGAAUGCCACACGCUCAGGCAGCCAAGAAGCCUUCACAGGCACAAAUUCACCUGGGUCACAGAUGUCUAUACAAUGCUCAGCCCCUGGUGAGUGGAGGAAGCCUGAAGCACAGGAAGCCAGAGGAGUCUCCACCAUGGCAGGUUGAAAGCUUUGAAUGAAUAAGAAUCAGGGCAGGAGAGAUCCAAAUGGUUCAGGUAAGCUGCUGAGGCUGGUAGACCAAGGUUUGAGGAAACAUCACCAUGGGGAGCACUAAUGUGCAAAACACUUUUUUAAACAGCAUUACUGAGGCAUAAACAAAUGCAGUAACUGUGCAGCUCCAAGUGUGCAAUUUGAUUAGUUUUGCAUCUGUAUAUACCUUUGACACUCUCACCAGAAUCAAGGUUAUGAAAUAUCCACAUUUCCUUACACCCCUUUGCAAUCCCUCCCAUUCCCUUGCCAUUCCCAGAUAGCCACUGAUCUGCUGUCACUGUAUAUUAGUUUCCAUUUUCUAGUAUUUCAUAUGAAUAGAAUCAUAUAGUAAGUACCCUUUAUUGUCUGACUUCUUUCAGUCAAUAAGAUGAUUUUGAGAUCUGUUCACAAUGUGCAUAUCAGUAGUUCAUUGCUUUUAUUGCAAAGUAGUAUUUCAAUAUAUGGAUGUAACGCAAUUUGUUGAUUUCUCAGUUAUGGAACUUUGAGUUGUUUCCAGUUUUUGGCUGUUACAAAUAAAGCUGCUGUGAGAUUCAUGUACAAUCCUCUGUAUGUGCAUGUGCUUUCAUUUCCCUUGCAUAAGUAUCUAGGAGUGGAAUGGCUGUGUCAUACGGUAGGUAUAUGUUUAACUUUUCAAGAAACUGCCAAACUGCUUUCCAAAGUGGUGGUACCAUUUUACAUUCUCACUAGCAGUGUAUCAGAGUUCCUAUUGCUACCAUAACAAAUGACCACAAAUUUAGUAGCU